rnacentral:rRNA from 1 species
CUGUGACUGGGAUAACUGGCCGAAAGGCUUGCUAAUACCAGAUAAGCCCACGGGACCUUCGGGACCUGAGGGAAAAGGUGGCCUCUGUACACAAGCUAUCACAUGGAGAUGAGUCCGCGGCCCAUCAGCUAGUUGGCGGGGUAAUGGCCCACCAAGGCAACGACGGGUAGCUGGUCUGAGAGGAUGAUCAGCCACACUGGAACUGAGACACGGUCCAG